GAUAGUUGCUGACAGAUCCAAUUGAGAGAAGUUCUUACAUGCAAACAAAGCACACAUGCAAUUUGCCUCUGUCAGUCUGAAAUAUAACUUUUACACGGUGACUAACUUUGUCUUAUUUUUCAGGAUAUAAGAAUCCAUCCGCUGCUCAGUCUAAACUGCCUGGUAACAGACUGGACCCCAGCACUGCUCAAGAAAAGAGUAAACCAGCAGCCACACUCUCCAGACCAGACCAGGGUGAUGGACUCACCUCUUUGUUGCCAGAUCCCCCAGUUCCAGUGAAGGCUCCAGUGCCAGUUCCGCCCGAGUUGCUUG